AUUCAGCUGACGAGUCACAAAUAAGACGAAACGCGUGUUCUGGAU
rnacentral:hammerhead_ribozyme from 1 species